rnacentral:snRNA from 1 species
UGGGAUGAGCCAAGCCCGUGC